CCUGGCUCAGAUUGAACGCUGGCGGCAGGCCUAACACAUGCAAGUCGAGCGAGAAAGCACUUCGGUGUGAGUAGAGCGGCGGACGGGUGAGUAACGCGUAGGAAUUUGCCCAGUAGUGGGGGACAACAUGUGGAAACUCGGAUUAAUACCGCAUAAUCUCUUCGGAGCAAAGCAGGGGAUCUUCGGACCUUGCACUAUUGGAUGAGCCCUCGUCAGAUUAGCUAGUUGGUGGGGUAAAGGCCUACCAAGGCGACGAUCUGUAGCUGGCCUGAGAGGGUGGUCAGCCACACUGGAACUGAGACACGGUCCAGACUCCUACGGGAGGCAGCAGUGGGGAAUAUUGCGCAAUGGAGGAAACUCUGACGCAGCCAUGCCGCGUGUGUGAAGAAGGCCUUAGGGUUGUAAAGCACUUUAAGCGAGGAGGAAAGGUUGCUGGUUAAUAACCAGUAGCUGUGACGUUACUCGCAGAAUAAGCACCGGCUAAUUCAGUGCCAGCAGCCGCGGUAAUACUGAAGGUGCAAGCGUUAAUCGGAAUUACUGGGCUUUAAGCGCGCGUAGGCGGUUUGCUAAGCCAGAUGUGAAAGCCCCGGGCUUAACCUGGGAACUGCAUUUGGAACUGGCAGGUUAGAGUACGGUAGAGGGGGGUAGAAUUUCCUGUGUAGCGGUGAAAUGCGUAGAUAUAGGAAGGAAUACCAGUGGCGAAGGCGGCCACCUGGACUGAUACUGACGCUGAGGUGCGAAAGCGUGGGGAGCGAACAGGAUUAGAUACCCAGGUAGUCCAUGUCGUAAACGAUGUCAACUAGCCGUAGGGAUCCUUGAGGUCUUUGUGGCGCAGCUAACGCAAUAAGUUGACCGCCUGGGGAGUACGGCCGCAAGGUUAAAACUCAAAUGAAUUGACAGGGGCCCGCACUCGCGGUAGAGCAUGUGGUUUAAUUCGAUGCAACGCGAAGAACCUUCCCUGGUCUUGACAUCCUGCGAACUUUCUAGAGAUAGAUUGGUGCCUUCGGGAACGCAGAGACAGGUGCUCCAUGCCUGUCGUCAGCUCGUGUCGUGAGAUGUUGGGUUAAGUCCCGUAACGAGCGCAACCCUUGUCCUUAGUUGCCAGCACGUAGGUGGGAACUCUAAGGAGACUGCCGGUGACAAACCGGAGGAAGGUGGGGACGACGUCAAGUCAUCAUGGCCCUUACGACCGGGGCUACACACGUGCUACAAUGGCCGGUACAGAGGGCUGCAAUACCGCGAGGUGGAGCGAAUCUCAGAAAACCGGUCGUAGUCCCGAUUGGAGUUUUCAACUCGACUCCAUGAAGUCGGAAUCGCUAGUAAUCGCGAAUCAGAAUGUCGCGGUGAAUACGUUCCCGGGCCUUGUACACACCGCCCGUCACACCAUGGGAGUGGAUUGCACCAGAAGUAGGUAGCUUAACCUUCGGGAGAGCGCUUACCACGGUGUGGUUCAUGACUGGGGUGAAGUCGGAACA
rnacentral:rRNA from 1 species